UAUCACAGCCAUAUCAUCCUGCAGCCCAAGACCGGUUACUCACUGAAGCUAAGCAUGGCUGAGCCUGGUUAGUACCUGGAUGAGAGACACUAGGGAACACUAGGUUGCUGUUGGAA
rfam:Danio rerio chromosome 12, GRCz11 reference primary assembly.